AAAAAAGUUUUGUACAGAAAAAAACGUGUCUAAAAACCCAUUCCAGUGGGAUUUUUUACGAAAAGCAAUAGUUCUGAACAGAAUAUAUACAGAAAUCGUCGUUUACUGAAUAAAUUUUGAACGUUGUUGAAACGUUGUUGUGUAUCCGCUAUUAUUUCUAUGGGGCAGGGGUUACUAGAAAACACGCUCGUUAGAAAACAGUUUUCUUCUUGACAAUAUGAUCCCUACCCUGGUUGCCAGAGGUUCUGGUAUCUUCCGCCCUAUUCUCGCUCGUGUUUUACGUAAUUUAUUAUUUAUAAUAUUUUACAAGUUUGCCAUUGCAAUGGAUCUAGAGUAUAUGGUUGCGGUGACUGGAAUUUCCACACAGAGAUAGUUCUCCAAUAACGGGGUUCCAAAAAAGAACAACUAAUGGUAUAUCUAAUUAUUUUGAAAUUAAACUGCAAACAUAACAAUAAAACACAAAUACAAGAAGACAAAGCAAACGUAUUGACGAACAAACGAACAAAAACUAAAUUUAGCAACAUGUUCGAGUUGAUAAGUUCAUUAGUGGGCGAGUGGUGUGACAUUUAAUACACACAGACUUAAAUGUUCUUGCAUAUUCAGGGUCAUAAAUUUAUUGGGUUAAUACGGCAGCACAAGAACCUCUGGAACCAAGGACAGGGUAUAUGUUCCCCCAACGAAAG